rnacentral:misc_RNA from 1 species
UUGUGGAGGAGGACGCCGAAGGUGGGGCUAAUGACUGGGGUGAAGUCGUAACAAGGUAGCCGUACCGGAAGGUGCGGCUGGAUCACCUCCUAACAGGGAGACAACAAAAUGUUUAAUAUUAUUAUUUUGUCACCUUAGGUCGAUCGGUAUCUCACGUUUUUAAUUUAUUAAGAAUUUCAUUUCCUAAGUUUUUCUAGGUCACACCCAUUAUUUUUCCUGGGCCAUUAGCUCAGGUGGUUAGAGCGCACCCCUGAUAAGGGUGAGGUCCCUGGUUCAAGUCCAGGAUGGCCCAUAUCUCUAUGUUGGGGGUAUAGCUCAGUUGGUAGAGCGCCUGCUUUGCAAGCAGGAUGUCAGCGGUUCGAGUCCGCUUACCUCCACUGAUUACCACCUCUUCCAUAACCGGUAGUAAAGGAAAUGUUUUGAGUUGUGAUCAAAUUCUGAAAGAAUCUAGCCUCCUAAUGAAAUCAUUAAGAUGCUGGACUCAUUGAAUUAAUUUCAUUGUUUUCAGAGAACCUUGACAACUGCAUAGAUUAUUUUUAAAGACAAUAAGCAUCAUUAAUGAUGCAGAUUUAUUAUUUGUGCGAAUGCAUUAAUAACAAUUCUAUUAAGCUGAUGCUUCAAUUUUGAAGUUAUUGGUCAAGCUACAA